rnacentral:ncRNA from 1 species
AGGCGGCAUAAGGUGGCAUUGCCGCUUUAUAACUCCCUGUUGGACUUUGCCGGGCCUUGUGCCCGGCGUUUUUU